AUUACUGUAUAUUUCAACACAACUUACCUAAUUUUAUAAUAAAACUAUCAUGUUGAAAAUUCAUUAUUUAUUUUUGUGUACAUUUGUAUAAAUAUAUAAAAUUUUAACAGUAUCGUUUUCUAACCUAUAGCAAGUGACAAAAGGUUUGGUCGUUAGUAUCCGAGAUUCAAAUUUAAAUCCUAAUUGAUUCACAUUUCCAGCUAAGUUUAUUUCUAAAUAAAAUAAACAAAACGAGUAGCGUACUAUCUAUCUCUAAAAAAAAAAAAAAAAUCAAAAUUUCAGAUAAAAGAUUUUACUUGCAUU
rnacentral:lncRNA from 1 species